rnacentral:sRNA from 1 species
ACAUCCGUGCUAUAAUAGAUGGACAGACAGGUUUAUGAUGUGGUUGGCAGCCUAUUUUCAAAGAAAGUAGGUGAUGCCAUGUUAUUCGUGGUUAUCCCCAGAAAGGAUAAAGCAUGACUGUGUUUGAGUCAUUGACACUAGCAAUUGCGCUUGCAGGGCUAGUUGUUAUGAUAAUGAACAGUAA